ensembl:snoRNA
AUGUAUUUGACAGACUUGGAGCAGUUACUGUCUGCUGCUAAAGUUCCAGUGCAGAUGCAAGAAAAAAGAAUCCUCGUGCUUUCUUCCUAUCUGACUGUGACAGCCAAGAUUGAAUGGGGGAAUACAGUG